ACUCAUUAGGGAAAGCUCGCGAGGACGGCCAUAAUACAGGAGAGCAUUCGCGAAGGUCAGGGUCAUUUGUUAUCUUUGAGAAAGAUGGGAAAAGAUUCACGAUCAAAACCGAAACUGAGCGAGCAUCCAACUUUAAACUUUUGCACUACCGAACUAUUUCGAAGAUGAUCGCGGGAAAAUCGAACUUCCGUUUAGUUCGGCCGAAGUCACCUUCCCUAAUCUGAGGGUCAAGGUUGCACUUCACUCUCGUUCGAGCUGCAGAUUAGUGUAGAAGUGUCGCGAGCUUGUCCGAGUCGAAUAACCGUUGAAUUCUUUAGAACAAAAGUUACCUUUAGAAUAAGGCUGUACAAAGUGUGUGCGUUCAAGAAGAAGCGACAGCCUACGGCUAUAUCUAUUUUGCUAGCGACGCUUCCUGCUUUUCGACGCGAAGAGUGCGGCUUCUUGCAGCCAUCAGAAGCCAGCGGCCCGCCAACACGCCGCUAUCCCAUUGCAGUGGUCAUCAAUAGCCACAACGUGGCCAGACUCAGCCUACGGCCCCCCGCGAAAGUCUUCAUCCACGUGGAAGCGCGACUAAACCGGCAUCUAGUCCCACCCUACCGCGCAACGUACCAGGAGCGCAUACACCACAGCAGCACAUCGUCAAAUUACUGCAGCUAAUC